CAACCUUUUGGAUUGCUUGGGCCAUCUUGAGUGAGGAGGAGUUGCCUUGGGCUGAUGUUUUGGUUGUUGCUGAGUGAUGGGUGUAUGCCCAGCUGCAGAAGAGCAAGCUCACAGCCUCUCUAGAAUGGGGAAAUUCUCUUCAAGCAACCGGACAAUGAGUGCACAUCCCUGAGUUUAGCUGCUGCACCAGGAUUGUGUGAACAGGAGAGGAUCAGCCAUACAGUGUUGCCAAACCUAAAUAAUGUCGGUACGUCAGGUGGCUUCUGCAUGACUCAAAGCACCUCAAACUUCAGUGCACUUGAAGUACCCUUAGAGCAUAGUGACACAUGGUGUUCUGGGCCAGCUGGAAACAUAAACAUUACAAAGCAGCAGCAAACGUCUAUUACAUGAAACAUCAGUGAACUGCAAUAAGAAAAGAGCUGAGGAUUCUCAAGCAAGUCUGUAGUGAGUGGAGCGAUGCUGAGUCAUGUCUGUGAUAGAGGAGCCAAAGCAGAAUCUGCUCGCUAUCUUGUAGCUGUAUUGGCAGACACUUCUAGCUGAUCUAGAAGCACAUUAAAGAAGGUCUUUCUCACACUCGCGCAGCAGGAAUGCAUGUAAGUCAAAAAUGGUAAUA